rnacentral:rRNA from 1 species
AGUGAACGCUGGCGGCGUGCCUAACACAUGCAAGUCGAACGAUGAUAGGAAGCUUGCUUCCUUGAUUAGUGGCGCACGGGUGAGUAAUGCAUAGAUAAUGUGCCCCUUAGUUCGGGAUAGCCACUGGAAACGGUGAUUAAUACCGGAUACUCCUUCUUACUAUAAGGUAAGUCGGGAAAGUUUUUCGCUAAGGGAUCAGUCUAUGUUCCAUCAGGUAGUUGGUUAGGUAAUGGCUCACCAAGCCUAUGACGGAUAUCUGGUUUGAGAGGAUGAUCAGACACACUGGAACUGAGACACGGUCCAGACUCCUACGGGUGGCAG